AUUUAAAUAAUUUAAUAAAAAUAUUGAUUUGUGGUAUCAAAAAUAUGAAUAACAUUCAUUUUAAAUU
rnacentral:tRNA from 1 species